rnacentral:rRNA from 1 species
UACGUAGGGUGCAAGCGUUGUCCGGAAUUAUUGGGCGGAAAGAGCUCGUAGGCGGUUCGUCGCGUCGGCUGUGAAAACCCGGAGCUCAACUCCGGGCCUGCAGUCGAUACGGGCGGACUAGAGUUCGGCAGGGGAGACUGGAAUUCCUGGUGUAGCGGUGAAAUGCGCAGAUAUCAGGAGGAACACCGGUGGCGAAGGCGGGUCUCUGGGCCGAUACUGACGCUGAGGAGCGAAAGCGUGGGGAGCGAACAGG